rnacentral:lncRNA from 1 species
UGGCCAUAAGGUGGGUAUUCUAAACUGCUUGAUCCACCUCCACAUCCUUCGCACUGCAUUACUAGGUGAACCUAUGAAGAACAAAGAAAACCAUCAAUUUUCUUAUUCAAGAGUUAUACCAGAUUAGAGAGCAUGGUGAUCGAAUCAACAUUAUAAACACCAGCUGUUUUUGUUGGCUUUGUCGUCAUGACUUGCCACUGAUAGUUAUUCAGUGACAUCUCC